rnacentral:rRNA from 1 species
UACAGAGGGUGCAAGCGUUGCUCGGAUUUACUGGGCGUAAAGCGUACGCAGACGGCCACGCAGGUCGGGUGUGAAAGCCCCGGGCUCAACCCGGGAAUUGCAUUCGAAACCAUGUGGCUCGAGUGUGGGAGAGGGUAGUGGAAUUCCUGGUGUAGAGGUGAAAUUCGUAGAUAUCAGGAGGAACACCGGCGGCGAAGGCGGCUACCUGGUCCACAACUGACGUUCAGGUACGAAAGCCAGGGGAGCAAACGGG